UUUACCUGCAGGCGGACGUGCUGCCUCACCUGACGUGGCUUUCAAAAGUAUCCCAAAAGGAGGAUGUAAACUUCCUGGCCAUAAAAGAGCAGGUCCCUGUGACAAUGGCAUCACUCCUUGCCAUAAAAACAUUCUGAUGAUUCCCAGCCCCCGCGGUCAUUUCUGAGCCAACUCCACCAGGACCUCGAUGACCCAAGGGGUCUGGGGGCAUUCAACAUCAAGGAGGAGGAGAGGAGAGGAGAGGGAGAGGCCAGGUGGAGAAGACCAAGACCAGGGAGCAGUUCUGGGCUCGGUUCAGAGACGAGGUCAUGGACAGCCUAGACCGGAGGUUCCAACACCUGGAGAUUCUGGAGGCCUUCAGUGUGUUGGGACCUUAGGCUGUGUUCUCUAGUGAGAGAACAAACAACUUUAACCUGGCCCUCCUUUCCAGGCAGUUCUUGCAAGCGCCAGAGGCUGCUGUCCUGCAAGAGUGGCACUCUCACAAGCAACAUGUGCUAGUUGGAGCAUUAAAGGUGUGGCAUGAGUGUGACAAUCUUUUGAAGAGAACAUUUUAGGCCAGUGUUGGCCAACCCUUUUUCCUGUUGAACUACCACUCUGUUGGCUCUUCUAUAAUGUUGUACGUCUUUUAGUUUUUCAUGUAUUUCAGGGGUUGGACCAGCUGACGACAAUGACAAAGCUGGCCUCGCAGUUUGAUGAGUGGGGGCAGCUCUACCCCUCUCUCGUUAUCACAGGUGUGAGUGUUGACGAGGACAAGGCUGGAGAUCACUCUGUCAUGCUGAUUGAGUUCGAAUAACAGACU